AAGUUUUGCUGAGAACAAAAGGCAAGACUUCACUUGUACUUUUUUUAGUUCUUUGAUUAGAGGGUUGGCCAUUACAAGCUCCAUCACCCAAGUGCUACAAAAUGGAAAGUAACUAAUGGACCUCUGAAAACAAACCAAACAUAUACACAAGGAGUUUAUAUAAGCAAGUUGUUUAAGCAGUAUGAAAAGGAAGAAAAAACAACCAUUUUAAGCAGUAUGGCACCUUGCUUUCCUUAAUUAAAAACAUGGGUACAUA